GUAGCAUUGAGAGAGUGAGGAGAUGCUGCCUGGUCUGGACCAGACUGAUUUUGACACCUGAGGUACAGAAAAUGAACAUCAUCAAGAGGUCCUUACUUUGCCAGCUCAGUCUGAAAUGCAAACUACAGCUGCAGUUAAGUGUUGAUAGCUCCCAGGAGAAUUCAGAUUACCAUGGUCAUAUGGAGCUGUGUCUCUGCCACCUUCUCUGCUCUUUUUUUCUGAAAUUGACAGGAUUUAACCUAUUUACAAGAUGUCUUUGCAAAUUAAGUAUGCGCACGACUCCAGAAGCCAAACAUAGUCUGCAGAGCACUGAAAGCCAGCCUUUUUCUUGAGGUCACACAUUUAAUGACACUGGACCUGAGUUUCUGUUCGUGGCACUGCCUCCUGAUUUCUGCUUCUGUUCCACCUUCUUUGCAGCUGCAUCACGCAAUCCUUUAUUUUAUUUUGACAAUUAAUAA